CAGUCGCCACGGUAAUACGAAGGGUGCAAGCGUUACUCGGAAUUACUGGGCGUAAAGCGUGCGCAGGCGGUUUGUUAAGACAGAUGUGAAAUCCCCGGGCUCAACCUGGGAACUGCAUUUGUGACUGGCAAGCUAGAGUGUGGCAGAGUGGGGUGGAAUUCCGCGUGUAGCAGUGAAAUGCGUAGAGAUCGGGAGGAACAUCAGUGGCGAAGGCGGCCAUCUGGGACAACACUGACGCUGAGGCACGAAAGCGUGGGGAGCAAACAGGAUUAGAUACCCGUGUAGUCCCUGUCUCUUAUAA
rnacentral:rRNA from 1 species